GCAGCCAACCAGAGCAGUGGGCCCCUCAAGUCGAGCCCAGCAUACAUGAUGGGUGCCACGGGGCCCCCUGCAGCCAUGGUGGUUGGUGGCCAGCCACUGAAGGGCAUCAAGGUGAUCCCCGUGCCUCCACGUGGUGCCCGACCUUUGCUGGCACGCCUCAUUGGGCCGGCAGGGCUCAGGGCAGUCCAGCCCUCGUCAUCACUCAUUGUCCAGGUGCAACAAGCGAGUGAAGGAAACCCCCGGCCUGACUGUCCCUCAUCAUGAUGUAC